rnacentral:rRNA from 1 species
CCACCUUCGGCCAGGGGUUAGUCUCCGGGUCGGUCCGGAAGAGUCGAGAAACUCGAGAUACCUUGCCGGCUGCUGCAGCCUGCCCCCGUCGUCUUUGUUCCGUGCGCCGAAACAGGGUCGACCCAAGAGCGAGAGGGGGACAAGGAAGAAAUCUCGGGAGAGGGGGAGAGCGAGAGAGAAACGCAUCGCGAUGUCGGCGGAGACGGAGAAGAGCGCCGCCGCGCCCGCGCCCGCGCCCAUGCGGUGCCAGCGAAUAGGCUGCGACGCCAUGUUCACCGACGACGACAACCCCGACGGCUCCUGCCACUACCACCCCUCCGUACCUAUGUUUCAUGAUGGCAUGAAAGAGUGGAGCUGUUGCAAGCAAAGAAGCCAUGAUUUUAGCUUAUUUUUAGCUAUUCCUGGAUGUGCCACAGGGAAGCAUACAACUGAGAAACCAGUCACAAAAGCUGUUUCUCUUAACUCAAAGGCAACCCCACCAAAGUUAGCUCCACUCCAGUCUUCUAAGCAGGGUGUGGAAACCGAGGCCUGCUCCAGGUGCCGUCAGGGUUUCUUUUGCUCCGACCAUGGAUCACAGCCCAAGGCACAAAAACCAGUUGCUGUAAAUGGUACAAAUACGGAACCUGUCGAGAAAUGCUCGGUUCCACAGCCCAAGAAAAAGGUUGUUAAUAUAAACGAGCCUAGGGUUUGUAAGAAUAAAGGAUGUGGUAAAACCUACAAGGAGAAGGAUAACCAUGAUGCUGCAUGCGAAUACCAUCCAGGCCCUGCGGUUUUCCAUGACAGGAAUAGAGGGUGGAAGUGUUGCGAUGUCCAUGUCAAGGAGUUUGACGAAUUUAUGGAGAUACCUCCAUGCACAAAGGGGUGGCACAAUGCUGAUGCCGUGUGAGUUCACACCAUGACUCUUGCAUUAAGAGUUAUAUUUGUUGUAUUAUCUCCUGGUGCAUAAGGUUGGCAUCUUGCCGCAAUUUCUGGAGAAGUAUGCUUGGAAGUGUGACCUGAUAUUCAAGAAUAGGCUGCUUGGAUGAGUAAUUACCUCGAAAUCUCAUGUGAUGUUUCAUGUAAUCUGGAAUCGGAACUUGAAACCAUAUGUGCACACUCAAUUUAGUAAUUUAACUAUGCCCUUUUGAAGUUAAAUGUGCU